AAGGGGCAUGAUCUUUUCCCUUAUGGGGCUUAGAAUCCAGAGCACGAUACAGGAAUUUUAAUAAACACCAUAAUAAAUAUAUGAAUAUAUAAAUAUAAAACAUUCUAAGGGCUUUGACUGAAAAGAACAAUAUGAUGUCAGGAGAAAAAAAAAUUGAAUCACUAAGAAAGGUGUAUCUGAGGAAAUGACAUUUAAGCAGAAGUUUAUAAAUCCAGUCCAAGAAUAAGAAAAAGAAUAUUCAUGCAGUGGGAAUAACAUGGGAGGUAAUGAGAGCUUGGACUCCUCAAAGGCUGACAGGAAGCCAGCAUGGCUUAGAAUAAAACCCAGGUGAGGUUUAGGAGUUGGAUAGGGACUACAUCCCAUGAAGCUGUGAGGGUCAGGUGAAAAUAUUUAUAAUUUAUUUAAAGUGCACUGAGAAGCCAUUGCUUGUUUUUAAGCACAAGAGUGACAAUGAAGGCUGAGGAGGUUUGAAUGAAGGAAAAUAAUUGGUUUUGUUUUAGAUUAACAUGUUGAUUUUAGAUUUCUGUUUUUCAUCACAAUUCUGGACCUAGACCUAUUAACCUCACAGGAGAGUUUUGUGCUGGAGAUAUUUCUGGAGAAACAUCUGUGUUUCAAAUACAGACAGAUAAAGAAAUUAUAAAGACUGAGGAAAAGCCUCAAAUUGCAUAAAGAGAACCAAGAGUAUCAUGGAAGCCAGGGAAGUGGAUUAUUUUGAAAAAGAAGUAUGACCAACAGUGUCAAAUACAACAGAGAAGCUCAGUAAGAGUAAAGGAUGUUGGAAAGAAACCAAUAGGGAAUAGAUUGAAGAUGUGGAAGGAUGACAGAUGAAGCAGAAUUUCACAGGAGAUGGGAGGGGAAGAAGUCAUCAGCUCAGGUGGAGAUUCUGGUCUUGAACAGGAGGAGUAACCAUUAUCUCCUAAAACUGGAGAUGGAGGAAGGGAGCCAUGAGUCAAGGAAUGAGGCAGCUUGAAAACCUGGGAAUGGCCUUCAGCAUACAGCCAACAAGAAAACAAGGGCCUCAGUUCUACAGCCGGAAAGAACUGAAUUCUGCCAACAGCCUGCAUGAGUAAGAAAACAGAUUCUCCCUAGAGCCUCCAGAUAGCAAUGCAGUCCUGCUGAUGCCUUAAUUUUAGUAGAGUGAGACCUUUGCAGACUUCUGACCUAUAUAACUAUAAUUAAUAAAUCUGAGUUGUUGUACGC
rnacentral:lncRNA from 10 species